rnacentral:rRNA from 1 species
AUUGAACGCUAGCGGGAUGCCUUACACAUGCAAGUCGAACGAGUGGCGGACGGGUGAGUAAUAUAUCGGAACGUGCCUAAUAGCGGGGGAUAACUACUCGAAACAGUGGCUAAUACCGCAUACUAUUGGAGCUGCCGAUAUCGGAUUAGCUAGUUGGUGGGGUAAAGGCUCACCAAGGCCACGAUCCGUAGCUGGUCUGAGAGGACGACCAGCCACACUGGGACUGAGACACGGCCCAGACUCCUACGGGAGGCAGCAGUGGGGAAUAUUGGACAAUGGGGGCAAGCCUGAUCCAGCCAUCCCGCGUGUAUGAGAAGGCCUUCGGGUUGUAAAGUACUUUUGGCGGAGAAGCGGUACCUGCAGAAGAAGCACCGGCUAACUCCGUGCCAGCAGCCGCGGUAAUUC